rnacentral:rRNA from 1 species
CCUACGGGAGGCAGCAGUGGGGGAUAUUGCACAAUGGGGGAAACCCUGAUCCAGCGACGCCGCGUGGGUGAAGAAGCGCCUCGGCGCGUAAAGCCCUGUCAGCAGGGAAGAAAAUGACGGUACCUGAAGAAGAAGCCCCGGCUAACUACGUGCCAGCAGCCGCGGUAAUACGUAGGGGGCAAGCGUUAUCCGGAUUUACUGGGUGUAAAGGGGGCGCAGACGGCGAUGCAAGCCAGGGGUGAAAGCCCGGGGCACAACCCCGGGCCUGCACUUGGAACUGCGUGGCGAGAGUACAGGAGGGGCAAGCGGAAUUCCUGGUGUAGCGGUGAAAUGCGUAGAUAUCAGGAGGAACACCAGUGGCGAAGGCGGCCUGCUGGACUGCAACUGACGUUGAGGCCCGAAAGCGUGGGGAGCAAACAGGAUUAGAUACCCGAGUAGUC